rnacentral:rRNA from 1 species
GAUGAACGCUAGCUACAGGCUUAACACAUGCAAGUCGAAGUGUUGAUGGCGACCGGCGCAAGGGUGCGUAACGCGUGAGCAACUUGCCCGUUUCUGGGGAAUAACCGGUGGAAACGCCGACUAAUACCCCAUAGUAUAACGAAGAGGCAUCUUUUGUUAUUAAAGAAUUUCGGAAACGGAUAGGCUCGCGUGACAUUAGCUAGAUGGCGGGGUAACGGCCCACCAUGGCUACGAUGUCUAGGGGUUCUGAGAGGAAGGUCCCCCACACUGGAACUGAGACACGGUCCAGACUCCUACGGGAGGCAGCAGUGAGGAAUAUUGGUCAAUGGUCGGAAGACUGAACCAGCCAUGCCGCGUGAAGGUCACGGCCCUAUGGGUCUUAAACUUCUUUUGUCAGGGAGCAAUAAGUCUCACGUGUGGGAUGAUGAGAGUACCUGACGAAUAAGCAUCGGCUAACUCCGUG